rnacentral:rRNA from 1 species
UACGUAGGGUGCGAGCGUUAAUCGGAAUUACUGGGCGUAAAGCGUGCGCAGGCGGUUCUGAAAGUCAGCUGUGAAAGCCCCGGGCUUAACCUGGGAAUUGCGGUUGAAACUACAGGGCUAGAAUCUGGCAGAGGGGGGUGGAAUUCCACGUGUAGCAGUGAAAUGCGUAGAGAUCGGGAGGAACACCAGAGGCGAAGGCGGCGACCUGGACAGUUACUGACACUCAACUACGAAAGCGUGGGGAGCAAACAGG